GACGAACGCUGGCGGCGUGCCUAAUACAUGCAAGUAGAACGCUGAAGGAGGAGCUUGCUUCUCCGGAUGAGUUGCGAACGGGUGAGUAACGCGUAGGUAACCUGCCUGGUAGCGGGGGAUAACUAUUGGAAACGAUAGCUAAUACCGCAUAAGAGUAGAUGUCGCAUGACAUUUGCUUAAAAGGUGCAACUGCACCACUACCAGAUGGACCUGCGUUGUAUUAGCUAGUUGGUGAGGUAACGGCUCACCAAGGCAACGAUACAUAGCCGACCUGAGAGGGUGAUCGGCCACACUGGGACUGAGACACGGCCCAGACUCCUACGGGAGGCAGCAGUAGGGAAUCUUCGGCAAUGGACGGAAGUCUGACCGAGCAACGCCGCGUGAGUGAAGAAGGUCUUCGGAUCGUAAAGCUCUGUUGUAGGAGAAGAACGAGUGUGAGAGUGGAAAGUUCACACUGUGACGGUAGCUUACCAGAAAGGGACGGCUAACUACGUG
rnacentral:rRNA from 1 species